GCAGAGUUUACAACCUCAUUUAUAUAGAUUCAGAGUAAUGGUAUUGGAUCGUUUGGGACAAUUGAUAACUUAAUAAUGCUGGUCGUCCUGUGUAUGAUGAUACUCCUGCUGCAAUCGCAAGCAGACUCGAAGACGAUACGAGUCAAGUCUUCCGGAAAGAUUUCAUUGAAUUUUGUAUAUCAGCAGAGGAGAAGCACAAUCAUAAAAUGUUGCGGGAAUGUAAGGUGCCUGGGUAACCGCCCAGUUCUUUCAAAGCUCAAAAAUACGACAAAUGCAGAGGUCCUAUCAAAAAUUUCAUCGCAAUCUUCACCGAGUAUAAUCAAGAAAACAACCGUCGGAACGGAUAUGACGUCGGACAAUGCCGCAGGAUCAAAUUUGGACACGACGCCCUCGUCGUUUGACCUUACUGAUGUCGGAGGAAAAACCAUUUCUUCGGCUCCAAGUGCGUCAUCAACCAAAAGCUUGACAGGAACAGCCGCAGGAGCAACAACGGUGGUGGCAAGAGCGACAACAGCCGCAGGAGCAACAACAGCUGCAGGAGCAACAACGGCGGCUGGACAGCCAACGACGGCCGGAGCAACAACAGCCGCAGGAGCGUCAACGGCCGCAGGAGAGACAACAGCCGCAGGAGUAACAACGGCGGCUGGACGGUCAACGACGGCCGGAGCAACA